UUCGGUUGAUCCCGCCGGACCCGACUGCUAUUUGGGUGAGGAUAAGCCAUGCGAGUUGAAUGGGAUACCUAAAGUUCCCAUAGCAAACUGCUCAGUAACACAUGAUCAACUUGCCCUAUAGAGAAAAAUAACCUCGGGAAACUGAGGAUAAUGUUUCAUAACUGAAUUGGCUUGGAAAAGUUUUUCAGUGAAAGGGAUAAAAUAAAUGGUUUUUAUCUGCUAUAGGAUAGGAUCGUGUUCGAUUAUGGUUGUUGGUGAGGUAAUGGCUCACCAAGCCGAUAAUCGAUAGGGGCCGUGAGGGCGGGAGCCCCGAGAUGGGUACUGAGACAACGACCCAGGCCUUACGAGGCGCAGCAGGCGCGAAACCUCCGCAAUACACGAAAGUGUGACGGGGUUACCCAAAGUGUUCAAUUUUGAACUGUGGUAGGUGAGUAAUGUUCCCUACUAGAAAGGAGAGGGCAAGGCUGGUGCCAGCCGCCGCGGUAAAACCAGCUCUUCAAGUGGUCGGGAUAAUUAUUGGGCUUAAAGUGUCCGUAGCCGGUUUAGUAAGUUCCUGGUAAAAUCGGGUAGCUUAACUAUCUAUAUGCUAGGAAUACUGCUAUACCAGAGGGCGGGAGAGGUCUGAGGUACUACAGGGGUAGGGGUGAAAUCUUAUAAUCCUUGUAGGACCACCAGUGGCGAAGGCGUCAGACUGGAACGCGCCUGACGGUGAGGGACGAAAGCCAGGGGAGCGAACCGGAUUAGAUACCCGGGUAGUCCUGGCCGUAAACGAUGCAUACUAGGUGAUGGCACGGCCAUGAGCCGUGUCAGUGCCGUAGGGAAACCGUUAAGUGUGCCGCCUGGGAAGUACGGUCGCAAGGCUAAAACUUAAAGGAAUUGGCGGGGGAGCACCACAAAGGGUGAAGCCUGCGGUUCAAUUGGAGUCAACGCCGGAAAUCACUAGUGCGGCC
rnacentral:rRNA from 1 species